rnacentral:rRNA from 1 species
UGGGGAAUUUUGGACAAUGGGGGCAACCCUGAUCCAGCCAUCCCGCGUGUGCGAUGAAGGCCUUCGGGUUGUAAAGCACUUUUGGCAGGAAAGAAAUCGCACGGGAUAAUACCUCGUGUGGAUGACGGUACCUGCAGAAUAAGCACCGGCUAACUACGUGCCAGCAGCCGCGGUAAUACGUAGGGUGCAAGCGUUAAUCGGAAUUACUGGGCGUAAAGCGUGCGCAGGCGGUUCGGAAAGAAAGAUGUGAAAUCCCAGGGCUUAACCUUGGAACUGCAUUUUUAACUACCGGGCUAGAGUGUGUCAGAGGGGGGUGGAAUUCCGCGUGUAGCAGUGAAAUGCGUAGAUAUGCGGAGGAACACCGAUGGCGAAGGCAGCCCCCUGGGAUAACACUGACGCU